ensembl:lncRNA
CCGGAAAGCUUGAUCGUCGGGAGGAGUGCGGGGACUGCUGCGCCUCUGUGUGCUCUGCUGUGUCUCUUUAAGUACAGCAGGCAGUGCUGUUGGUCCGCGUGGGAGUGCAGGGCACACGGUGCGGCGGCACUGCCUCUUCGCCGCGUCAAACAGCCCUCUUCUAAUCGGACGGGCGACAGAAACGACAAGUCGACGCACCGCAUGCGUUCGCUGUUUGACCCAAACAGAUGACUGGAGCCACCGGGGCGAAGACCGGACUGUUUCAGAGGGGCUCGUCCAUUGGUGAGGCCAUUAACAUUACUCCCUCUUUCUCCUCGGACUGAGAGCUGGAAGCGCGUAGCGGUUCAUCUGCACUACAGCAGAUUAUUGAGCAGCACAGAGAGACUGUACGGGCUAAUGGGAUUGACAAACUAACAUUAGCGCUACAGGGCUUUUCUGAGAGUAUGGUGCUCUUCAUUUUUGGCCGAGUUAUCGUGGAUAUGAAUCAUGUCUGAGCCCGAGGGGUCACCAUCCUGAGCUGAGUUGCGUCCUGUGAACUGCAACAACACCAAAGCUUGUGUUGAGAGCCUUAUUCUGACUCAUGUUCAAGAGCAGUGGUCGCUAAAAAUGCGUCAGUCUAACCAGGUGCCCGUCUGGUGGCCACAGUCAGAACCCCUUCAGCAUUUGUGUGAAGAUCCUGGCGUUUCAUUAAAGCCCACCUGCUAUUUUUUUUUUUGAAGAGCUGCAAACUGAGACUCUGAAAAGAGGCCUGUAUUCAUAGCCUUUUUUAAAUUUGGUUUGGGAAACCAUUUUAGUAUUUUCAAUGAUGUUUGUCUCUGUACCUGAGGUUAUGUGGUUCUCUUAAAGUGCUUCUCUCAAGUGUUUUGCAGUGUACUGAAUAUUUUUUAGGUUUACCUCGGCUUGAAAAGAUUUCCACUGUCUUUUAUAAAGUGUACAAGUGAGAUUUUGCAUCAAGAAACAAUAAAAUAAUACAGUGUAAAUGUGUAAUUUAUAUUUAAUCAUUCAUCCUCAGCAUUACCAGAAUAUUAUGCACAUUGACCGACCUCCAGUAACCCUUCUUGUUUCUGAUGACCUUGGUGUUCACUGUAUUGAGAAACUGCUCAUUGUGGAG